rnacentral:rRNA from 1 species
UAGGGAAUCUUCGGCAAGUGGGGGCAACCCUGACCGAGCAACGCCGCGUGAGUGAAGAAGGUUUUCGGAUCGUAAAGCUCUGUUGUAAGAGAAGAACGUGUGUGAGAGUGGAAAGUUCACACAGUGACGGUAACUUACCAGAAAGGGACGGCUAACUACGUGUCAG